rnacentral:rRNA from 1 species
UUUAAAUAGCUGCAGUAAUUUAACUGUACAAAGGUAGCAUAAUAAUUAGUCUUUUAAUUGAGGUCUAGAAUGAAUGGUUUAACAAGAGAAAAGCUUUAUUUAAUUAAUAAAAUUUAAUUUAAUUUUUUAGUUAAAAGGCUAAAAUUUUUAAAUGGGACGAUAAGACCCUAUAGAUCUUUAAAUUUUUAAUGAAAAAUUUAUUUUAGAUAAUUUAAAAUUUUCCAUUAAAAUAUUUUUUGUUGGGGUGACAGUCAAAUCUUUAAAACUUUGAAUUUUAAUUACAUGUAUAUAUGGAUGUAUAGUUGAUCCUAAAUUUUAGAUUACAAGAAUAAGAUACCUUAGGGAUAACAGCGUAAUAAAUUUGUAUAGUUCAUAUAAGUAAAUUUGUUUACGACCUCGAUGUUGAAUUAAUAAAGAUUUUUGGAGCAGAAACUAAUUUCUUAGGUCUGUUCGACCUUUAAAAUAUUACG